UACGGGGGGGUGCAAGCGUUGUCCGGAAUUAUUGGGCGUAAAGAGCUCGUAGGCGGUCUGUCGCGUCGGUCGUGAAAACUUGGGGCUUAACCCUGAGCUUGCGGUCGAUACGGGCAUGACUGGAGUUCGGCAGGGGAGACUGGAAUUCCUGGUGUAGCGGUGGAAUGCGCAGAUAUCAGGAGGAACACCGGUGGCGAAGGCGGGUCUCUGGGCCGUAACUGACGCUGAGGAGCGAAAGCAUGGGGAGCGAACAGG
rnacentral:rRNA from 1 species